GCCGUGGUGGCGGAAUUGGUAGACGCGCCAGACUUAGGAUCUGGUGAGCGAUAGCUUGUGGGAGUUCGAGUCUCCCCCGCGGCA
rnacentral:tRNA from 2 species